UACAUGGGGUGCAAACGUUGCUCGGAAUUAUUGGGCGUAAAGCGCGCGUAGGCGGUUACUUAAGUCGGAUGUGAAAGCCCUCGGCUUAACUGAGGAAGUGCACCCGAAACUGAGUAGCUAGAGUACGAAAGAGGGUCGCGGAAUUCCCGGUGUAGAGGUGAAAUUCGUAGAUAUCAGGAGGAACACCGGUGGCGAAGGCGGCUACCUGGACAGAAACUGACGCUGAGGCGCGAAAGCUAGGGGAGCAAACAGG
rnacentral:rRNA from 1 species